UGCCAACACCGUGUCCGCGCAAUUCAAGCCGGAGAAAAUCAUCCACCACCGUGCCCGCGCAAUUGUAGCCGAAGAAAAUCAACCACAAGGUUCAAAAACGGCAGCCGCGCAGUUGUAGCUGUCUAAAAUCAACCACCACCGUGACUGCAAUUGCAGGCGUCGACUUUUCCCACCUCAGUAUAUUCAUUGUAAUUCUCCGGCUUCGUGAACUCUUCGGUCUUUUAGGGGAGGACGAUCUACUUUUGAGGCAAAGGGAGAGAGAAGAAAGAGAAGAAGAGCGACUAGAGCAUCAAAGGGAGAGACAAGAGAGAGAAAAAUAUGCCGCCCACAUGAAAAAGGCAAUGGAGUAUUACGAGAGGAUGUUCAGCGGGGCACCUUUGUGUUAGGUAGUUAGUAUUCUUGUAUGAGUUUGAACUAGUUGCAACUUUCCUUUUUGAGUCCUAUAUAUUAUGAAUGUAAUAACAUGUUUAAACAACAUCAGGUGUAUUAUGAAUUUUGUUGUAUGACUUUG